AGGCGCAGCACAGGUACGUGGGCGGGCGGAUCGUGGUGGCUGCGCUUGCGAGGACCCUGAGGUAGAUUGGGUGGUUUCAACAGGAACGCAUCCACUGUCUGAGAGGUGGCAAUUGAAGCCGGAAGAACAUCUACCAAGAGCAGAGAACCCAGGAAGAAAAUUCUGCCUCUUUAAUACGUUCCAAUAUGGACGUUUUCCAUAUAGAUACCUAUCUAUAUAGAUAGAUGCUCUGGGAUCUGACGGUCCUGGACACCUGUAUGGCUGUGUGCUGUGGUCUUUGCCUAGCCUGCGGUUCACUUUUGCUCUGGCCACCACCUCCCCUCAUUUUAAACUUGAUUUUGUGAGGGGACGAACAGCGUGACAAUUAAAAGAAGAUCUGGGAAUCAAAAGCUUCCUGAGGCCUUCACCAGAAGCAGAUGCUGGUGCCGUGCUUCUACAGCCUGCAGAACUGAAGGACUUUACAGCUUCUCUUUCGCAUAUCCAAAUUGCCAGCAUCACCGCUCUUGCACUCCAAGCCAUUAUUAAGUAAAGUAAAGAACACAAACACUGUGAUACUGCUACACUUGAUCUGAUAACCAAGAAGUCUACUAAGUGACUAACAGAGCAACUGGGAACCUAAUUCUGACCAAAAAGGAGGAAUUGUUUGGCUAAUUGGAAGUGACAGAAACCUUGGGAGAAAGCAACCGCAUACCAAGGAUAAUUAUAAGAAGAAGAGAAGACAUGGAGAAGAGGAGGGAGUAGUUGUGACCGUGGAGGCAGAGAAUGGAGUAAUGUGAUCAUAAAUCAAGGAAUGCUGACAGCCACUAAAGCUGGAGAAGGCCAAGGACAGAUAUUCAAUCCUCCCGUAGAAGUACAGCCCUGCUAAUGCAUUGAUUUUGGACUUCUGGCCUCAGAACUGUAAGAGAAUAAAUUUCUAUUGUUUUAAGCCUUCA
rnacentral:lncRNA from 1 species